rnacentral:rRNA from 1 species
GGAGGGUGCGAGCGUUAAUCGGAAUUACUGGGCGUAAAGCGCGCGCAGGCGGCUGGGUCAGUCGGAUGUGAAAGCCCCGGGCUUAACCUGGGAAUUGCAUUCGAUACUGCCCGGCUAGAGUAUGGGAGAGGGAAGUGGAAUUUCCGGUGUAGCGGUGAAAUGCGUAGAUAUCGGAAGGAACACCAGUGGCGAAGGCGGCUUCCUGGCCCAAUACUGACGCCAGGUGCGAAAGCGUGGGGAGCGAACAGGAUUAGAUACCCUGGUAGUCCACGCUGUAACGAUGAGAACUAGAUGUUGGAGGGUUUGCUCUCAGUGUCGCAGCUAACGCGUUAAGUUCUCGCCUGGGAGUACACCGCAAGGUUG